GCUUAGCUCAGCUGGUUAGAGCAUGGUGCUGAUAAUGCGAAGGUUGUGGGUUCGAUCCCCGUAUGGGUCA